rnacentral:rRNA from 1 species
UACGGAGGGUGCGAGCGUUAUCCGGAUUUAUUGGGUUUAAAGGGUCCGUAGGCGGACUCGUAAGUCAGUGGUGAAAUCUCACAGCUUAACUGUGAAACUGCCGUUGAUACUGCGGGUCUUGAGUAAGGUAGAAGUGGCUGGAAUAAGUAGUGUAGCGGUGAAAUGCAUAGAUAUUACUUAGAACGCCAAUUGCGAAGGCAGGUCACUAUGUCUUAACUGACGCUGAUGGACGAAAGCGUGGGGAGCGAACAGGAUUAGAUACCCUGGUAGUCCACGCCGUAAACGAUGCUAACUCGUUUUUGGGGCUUUGGCUUCAGAGACUAAGCGAAAGUGAUAAGUUAGCCACCUGGGGAGUACGUUCGCAAGAAUGAAACUCAAAGGAAUUGACGGGGGCCCGCACAAGCGGUGGAUUAUGUGGUUUAAUUCGAUGAUACGCGAGGAACCUUACCAAGGCUUAAAUGGGAAUUGACAGGUUUAGAGAUAGACUUUUCUUCGGACAAUUUUCAAGGUGCUGCAUGGUUGUCGUCAGCUCGUGCCGUGAGGUGUUAGGUUAAGUCCUGCAACGAGCGCAACCCCUGUCACUAGUUGCUAACAUUAAGUUGAGGACUCUAGUGAGACUGCCUACGCAAGUAGAGAGGAAGGUGGGGAUGACGUCAAAUCAUCACGGCCCUUACGCCUUGGGCCACACACGUAAUACAAUGGCCAGUACAGAGGGCAGCUACCAGGUGACUGGAUGCGAAUCUCGAAAGCUGGUCUCGGUUCGGAUUGGAGUCUGCAACUCGACUCUAUGAAGCUGGAAUCGCUAGUAAUCGCGCAUCAGCCAUGGCGCGGUGAUACGUUCCCG